AUAAAAAAUAGUAAAUCUUUUUGGGGGCAUAGAAGCAAAUUUCAUUGCAAUAUAUAUAUAAUUUUUGAAUUUAUUGUUGAUUUGGACAUAUUUCCUUUAGCAGAAAUGUUUACUUUAGUGUUGUUUUGGGUAUUUACUUGAACAGGAAGUGCAAAAGUGAAAGUAGGUUUUCUGGGAAUUUUGCGGAGGAAUACUGUGUAAACACAACCAGGAUAGAUUCAGUCAGCCGGCAUUUCACUGCAUACUAUUCGACACCCACUUUUUUUUAUAUUUUUCUAUUGUAGAGAGACAGAGGUUUCAGAGGAGAGUUGAACAUUUUAUUGACCUCAAAGGGCCUGUACAGUCUGUUAGUCAAGAGGUCAGGGUGUACAGUACUAAAUUCUGGAGUGGCAUAACUCUGUGUCAAAGUUCGGGUCCUUGGUUUAGGCCGAAGUGGUGAAACAGGAGUAUCUGUCCCAUCAACAUCUUGAAAGAGAGACAGAGGUUUCAGAGGAGGUAUGGCUGCCAUGGCGUGAAAAUUUAUAAAUGUGUUUAAAAAGACUGUAUUUGUUGUAAACUUUAUAUAGAGCAAAGAACAAAUUUUUUUAUUGGUAUGUGACCUU